AUUCAAAUAGCUUAUUUAAGAGCAUAAUAUUGAAGAUAUUAAGGAAAUAGAAUUUAUUUUUGAAUA
rnacentral:tRNA from 1 species